AUGGUACAUGAAUUGUCGCCCCUGAUUACAAAAAAUUUAUCAAAGGUCAGAGGUCAGACGGUGAACCAACCAUCACCCUUUAUUACUGAAAAUUUAUCAAAGGUCACGACGGUAAACGUAUUGUCGCCACCCCCAUACCCUUCACCAUUAAAAUACGUUAUAAAUAUAAAUAUUCAUAAUGAAGCCUUUCCACUAACUCCACGAUUUCCUGCUUCUGCCAAAUCUAAACUAUCGUAA